AGUUUGAUCAUGGCUACAGAACGAACGCUGGCGGCAUGCCUAACACAUGCAAGUCGAACGAAGUCUUCGGACUUAGUGGCGCACGGGUGCGUAACGCGUGGGAAUCUGCCCUUGGGUGCGGAAUAACUUCUCGAAAGGGAUGCUAAUACCGCAUAAUGUCGUAAGACCAAAGAUUUAUCGCCCAAGGAUGAGCCCGCGUAAGAUUAGCUAGUUGGUGGGGUAAAAGCCUACCAAGGCGACGAUCUUUAGCUGGUCUGAGAGGAUGAUCAGCCACACUGGGACUGAGACACGGCCCAGACUCCUACGGGAGGCAGCAGUGGGGAAUAUUGGACAAUGGGCGAAAGCCUGAUCCAGCAAUGCCGCGUGAGUGAUGAAGGCCCUAGGGUUGUAAAGCUCUUUACCAGGGAUGAUAAUGACAGUACCUGGAGAAUAAGCUCCGGCUAACUCCGUG
rnacentral:rRNA from 1 species